CGUAAAAUAAUUUAAGUGUGUACUCUUAUCCAUGUCAGAUAAUACAUUCAUGGCUGCAAUAACCCCAGUAACACACAUGUUAUAAUUCAGCAUUCUAGACUGAUAUAUUACCAGAUCAGGUCAUAUAUCAGUUGAUAAUGCUCAAUUAUAACAUGUGUGCUGCUUGGAAAGAAUGUAUCAGUAGCAACCCGAAUGUCACAAAUGAAUGUUUUGAAACCUCAUGCAUGUGAAUGUAACAUCGAUGCGACAAAGCAUAAAAUAUGUACUAUGCGCUUCACUGGCUCGAACCCUCGCAUAAGCAACACUAAAAAAAUCUCUGCCGACUUGAAAAUGCAUUGCUUGGGCUUUCAAUAUGAGGGUUGAAUUAACCAGUCCUUCAAACGCUCCCAUACAUCAACAGGAUUGAUGCACCCCCGUGGCCGCUGAUCAAGAUAAAGACCGGGGAUAGAUUCGCUCUGGGGAAUGCCAUGGAUCGAAGUUGUCCACCCGCAUAGAAAUAUACUGUUUGCCUUACUUUUCAAACAAUAAGAAUCUUCUAUCUGUUAAUGUUAAUGCUUCACAAACAGUCACGUUUAUGUUUAACCAUAUGAAAUCUAAAACUGUAGACCAUAUACAACAGUUUUAGUCAUCUUUGCCAAAAAGUGACAAUUCAUGAAAGAGUCCAGAUAAUGUUUAAUUAUAAGAGAAUGAAAAUUCUUUCGAAACAGUGGCAACAUAUAAUUACCUUCUGUGAAACGGUAUGCACGCUUGAAAAUAAUCACAGGCGGCUACGGUGACUGUGUUAUUUUAGAAACGAUGUUAUAAAUAAAUCUUUUGAAUUAUUUUUGCACAAAUAGCCUAAAAAGUGAAGUUAAACAAAAUGUAUGGGAUUUGUUGACGGAAUUUUAAAAGACUGACUAUUUUUUUCCGCUCUGGGAAACCUUCAAAGCUGCCGUACAAUCUUUUGAGCGUGUUUGUUUUCUUUCGCUUGCUAUCAAAAAAAAAAAAAUAAAUAAAAAAAAUCCGCAGGUUGCAAGAAUUUGUUUUUUUUUUUCAAUUCAAUUCGUUUGUGAAAUGUCCAACGUGAGCCGGCAUAAGUUUAACUGGACUAAAAAAAAUCACGACCAAAGCCUCUACACCGGGAGCAUACAGUAGCCAACAACAACCGCCGUAUGCCGCUGCGGAUUCAACUCAAUAUCAGCGCCGGAAGCACCCGGGACUGCAGAGCAACCAUAAAAUGCUAGUCAUACGGGUUAUCCCUUCCAGUAUCAUCAAUUUGUUGGUGAUGACACCAUCGAAAGGCAAUCAAAGCACCUGUGAGCGACACCUAUCCCCGGAAGUAAGUUAAUGUUAACCGACCUUGCUACCCGCCCGCAGCGUGUUUCGUGGGCGGUAACUAUUCAGGUGGAUCCAGGAAAGGGCCUGGAAAUUUACUAUCACGCUCUGCGGGACAAAACCGAUGCAACAGAAGGGAGGUGACGUGCGGUAAAGUGGUAAAGAAGAUGCCGGAGGAGCACAUAUUUGCCGGAUGGUUAUACAUCAUAAGACAUUUGUUGAUUACAUCAUUAGCCGCUGGAUCAAGAGUUAUCAGCAUCCUUCAAUUUUCCCGGGGUUCAUCGGAUCAAAAUCAAACAUGACAAUUUUUGUAAAAUAUAGUAGAUAUAUGAGCAUGAAACAGAAAAUAUGACGUGAGUUGAAAGAUGAGCAAUAAUACAAAAAUACCAAUAAUUAGAAAGAACGGAACAAGUAGUGUGAUUUCUGAAUGUGCUUCCAACAAAACAGUUUAUUUCAAGAUUUCAUUAUAAUUUCUAUUAAACUGUAAAUGACUUGAAGCAUAAUCAGAACACACUCGCUACUUGUUCAUUUGUUUCUCAUUUAUGUAUUUAUUAUUCCUUACUUAUUA